GGCCGCAGGGCCUCCGGGCGGACUCUGACCCCGCGCCAGCGCCGAGGCCUCUCCGCCCCCAGCACCCUCCCGCGCCCCUCCGCCGCCCUCCCCGGUGCUCUCCCGCGCACCUUCCGAGAGUCGCCGACGCUCAGGGCCGGCAGAACAGGGUCGUAAACCUUCGCCCCCCCUCACCCUCAUGGCCCCCGUUUACAGGUUCUUCACUUCACUCCAGUCGCCAACAGUGGGUAAGUACUCCUUUUGGAUCAGUAUGUUGGUUUCACAUGGCAUUUCUAUUCUGUGGGAGUAGUGAAGCAUCUUUUCCCUUGGACCUUCUCCUGGGGUCUGAAGACGAGGCUGGAGACGAGCGUGGGACUCAGCCCAGCCAGGCGGCCCCGCCGCCAACACCCACGGCUCCUCUCGCUCCUCUGGCUCCCCUGUUUUCGACGCUUUCCUUCCUCCCCCACAAGCUUCAGAUUCCUGGAACCAGGCUCGGUGACCUCACGCCGGUGACUUCACAUCCGGAACCUUCUGGGAAUUCUCAGCAGCACUUUUUCGAAACUGCAUAAGGUUGAGAGGUCAGAAAAGGACACUGUCUAUGGCUUUUGCUUCCUUGAAGAGGUUGCCUCAGAGCUGAGUCUUCAACACCAAGCUUUCCAAAAAUGACAAGGGGGUUAAAAGGGGAGCUGCAUUAUGACUUUUGUAAGCCCUAGGCCCUUUGGCCUACAUGGGCUUCUUCCUCCACAAAAAAAUAUUUUAAAAUAUCUUACAACUGUGAUGGUGUAAAGAGGAAUAUGUUCAUGUUAUAUAUUAAAGCAUUUUCUUCUGCCUAAAA